CCCAGGCCUUUGGAUCUAACGGGCAAGAGAUCAUAUGGAUAAGGAGGCGUGUGCGCACAAUGUUACAUAGGGGAUGCACUCAAGAUUCCCCUUGGCUGACCUGAAGUCAAUGCCAAAUGGGAGUGCAAGUGGAAGCAGAGUGGAUAUGGAGAGACUUAGGUGGCAUGCAUGAAUGGAGUAUCAGAAACCAUACAAAAAAAACUACUCAAAGAGAGAGAGAGAGAGAGAGAGCGUGUUCAUUUGAAACACUAUGUUCUCUCUCCUCUUCUCAGAGCCUUCAUGCUCUCUCCCUAUAUCAAACAUGAACACCACCUGUGUUCACAAAAAAUAUCGGGUGUCGCCUCAUUUCCGCUAGUUUCAACCGAAAAACUCAACUCGAGUGAACCCUAACCCAAAAUUCGACCUCCAUAACCCCUAAUCAACCCCUUUUCAACAUAGACCCUAGAUCAUUUUCCUUACUAAAUCCAAAUCUAAAUCCAAAAUCAUCAAACAACUACUCGAUCUAGCAUAUCAGAGUUAACCCCAAAUCAAAAACCCUGAUUCCUAAACCCACAAAUCAAACACAAAUCCCUUAAAUCCUCUUCCAAGCCAUGGUUCAACAUCAAAAAUCAACAAUAAAUCAACACCUAAUGGUGCAUAAAUAAAGAGAAAAUAAUCAAACAAAAAAAAUUCUACAAGGUUCAGUGUCUGCACAAGGGAGUGAAGAACUCAACAGAGAAGGAAAUUACCUACUCCAAGUGUCGUUGGAGUGAAGAAAUCCCCAGGAUGAUGUGAUGAUGAGGACAUGGUAAAAGGGGCCAUGAGCACAUGAGGAAGGGUGUGUAAAAGUUACCUGACAACCUUGCUACAAAAUGUUUUUUUCUUCUUUUUUAUUUAUUUUCAUCUCAUUUUUGUAUUUUGUAAAUUUUGGUACUCUUCAUUUUGUCCCGUAUAAAAUGUAAAACUAAAUUCAUUAAUCAAUAUAAAUAUUUUUCUUUCUUAA